rnacentral:rRNA from 1 species
AGAAGGCUUAGGGUUGUAAGCACUUUCAAUUGGAAGGAAAAACUCUGGCCAAUACCCGUGAGCUUGACAUUACCUUUAGAAGAAGCACCGGCUAACUCCGUGCCAGCAGCCGCGGUAAUACGGAGGGUGCAAGCGUUAAUCGGAAUUACUGGGCGUAAAGCGUGCGUAGGCGGCUCGCUAAGUCACAUGUGAAAGCCCCGGGCUCAACCUGGGAACGGCAUUUGAAACUGGCAAGCUAGAGUUUGGGAGAGGAGAGUGGAAUUUCAGGUGUAGCGGUGAAAUGCGUAGAGAUCUGAAGGAACACCAGUGGCGAAGGCGACUCUCUGGCCUAAAACUGACGCUGAGGUACGAAAGCGUGGGUAGCAAACAGGAUUAGAUACCCUGGUAGUCCACGCCGUAAACGAUGUCAACUAGCCGUUGGCUCUCUUAGAGAGUUAGUGGCGCAGCUAACGCAUUAAGUUGACCGCCUGGGGAGCACGGCCGCAAGGUUAAAACUCAAAUGAAUUGACGGCGGCCCGCACAAGCGGUGGAGCAUGUGGUUUAAUCCGAUGCAACGCGAAUAACCUUAACUAA